GAUGAACGCUGGCGGCGUGCCUAAUACAUGCAAGUCGAGCGAACAGACGAGGAGCUUGCUCCUCUGACGUUAGCGGCGGACGGGUGAGUAACACGUGGAUAACCUACCUAUAAGACUGGGAUAACUUCGGGAAACCGGAGCUAAUACCGGAUAAUAUAUUUAACCGCAUGGUUCAAUAGUGAAAGACGGUUUUGCUUUCACUUAUAAAUGUAUCCGCGCCGCAUUAGCUAGUUGGUAAGGUAACGGCUUACCAAGGCAACGAUGCGUAGCCGACCUGAGAGGGUGUUCGGCCACACUGGAACUGAGACACGGUCCAGACUCCUACGGGAGGCAGCAGUAGGGAAUCUUCCGCAAUGGGCGAAAGCCUGACGGAGCAACGCCGCGUGAGUGAUGAAGGUCUUCGGAUCGUAAAACUCUGUUAUUAGGGAAGAACAAAUGUGUAAGUAACUAUGCACGUCUUGACGGUACCUAAUCAGAAAGCCACGGCUAACUACGUG
rnacentral:rRNA from 1 species